rnacentral:rRNA from 1 species
CAAUAGCGUAUAUUUAAGUUGUUGCAGUUAAAAAGCUCGUAGUUGGAUUUCGGGUGGGACGCAGCGGUCUCGCAUUGCGUUUGUACUGCUGCAGCCCUCCUUCUUGCCGGGGGCGGCCUCUCGGACUUCACUGUCUGGGGGUCAGAAUCGGCGAUGUUACUUUGAGUAAAUUAGAGUGUUCAAAGCAAGCUUACGCUCUGAAUAUAAUAGCAUGGGAUAACACGACAGGACUCUGGCUUAUCUUGUUGGUCUGUGAGACCAGAGUAAUGAUUAAGAGGGACAGUCGGGGACAUUCGUAUUUCAUUGUCAGAGGUGAAAUUCUUGGAUUUAUGAAAGACGAACUUCUGCGAAAGCAUUUGUCAAGGAUGUUUUCAUUAA